CCUACGGGCGGCUGCAGUGGGGAAUAUUGGACAAUGGGGGGAACCCUGAUCCAGCCAUGCCGCGUGUGUGAAGAAGGCCCUCGGGUUGUAAAGCACUUUCAGUGAGGAAGAACGCCUGGUGGUUAAUACCCAUCAGGAAAGACAUCACUCACAGAAGAAGCACCGGCUAACUCCGUGCCAGCAGCCGCGGUAAUACGGAGGGUGCGAGCGUUAAUCGGAAUUACUGGGCGUAAAGCGCGCGUAGGUGGCUUGAUAAGCCGGUUGUGAAAGCCCCGGGCUCAACCUGGGAACGGCAUCCGGAACUGUCAAGCUAGAGUGCAGGAGAGGAAGGUAGAAUUCCCGGUGUAGCGGUGAAAUGCGUAGAGAUCGGGAGGAAUACCAGUGGCGAAGGCGGCCUUCUGGACUGACACUGACACUGAGGUGUGAAAGCGUGGGUAGCAAACAGGAUUAGAUACCCGUGUAGUC
rnacentral:rRNA from 1 species